rnacentral:rRNA from 1 species
ACUAAAGAAACCUGCCUCAUAGACUGGGACAACUAUUGGAAACGAUAGCUAAUACCGGAUAGCAGCAUUAACUGCAUGGUUGAUGUUUAAAAGUUGGUUUUGCUAACACUAUGAGAUGGCUUUACGGUGCAUUAGCUAGUUGGUGGGGUAAAGGCCUACCAAGGCGACGAUGCAUAGCCGACCUGAGAGGGUGAUCGGCCACACUGGGACUGAGACACGGCCCAG